AGGAAACCUGCCUCCCGGGCCAGAUUAUGCCUCCAGGAGUCACCCAGGACAACCGGGUCCCACGGACCUGGACUGGCAGCUAACCAGGAGGCAGCCUCUGUGAUUAAAAGAAGUUCUGGAAUCUCUGGGGUUGGACUCCUGAUCCAGCUAUCUAAGAGGGACAAGAGAAAAAUGAAACACCUUCAUGUGUGUGUCCCUCUCCGAAGCACAAUACUGUGAAUGUACUUAGCUCUACUAACGAGGCGAUGGCAAUCCUCUCACCAGCAGGGCACAGAACGCCAGUUUCCCCAGAGCCCUGUCAAUGCCGUUUGAUCGACUUCUGGCAUUUUCUGCAGCUGAUUUUGAACCAUCUCAGAGGAAACCAAGGUGGCAAGAGGCCCUUCCUGCCUGACUGUCACAGAGGUGCCCAGAAUAUCAGCUCCAGGAGGGGAAAAACUUGUGUCCCUCGUCCCCAGGGGUGUCCCCUGUCCCAGUGCAGUGCCUGAACACGGUCGGUCUCCUGUGAGUCCCCAGGGGGAAGAGCAAGUGAACGAAUGGAUGAAGGAACGAGGAGCGAGCGAGGGGAAGAGGUCAUUCCUCUCUCUCAGCCUCGGCGCCUCCGUUUGUUCAACUGGAGAUUUUGAUUUCAUUCUGUGGGCUUUUCUAUGUUUUCCAGUGAUUGUAUCAUUGCUUUGUGCAACUGGAAAAAAAAUCAUUUAAAAAAAUGUAUAAGCCCCUCUUCAUAGUUGCCAACCAAGA